CCUCUCAGCUUUCUCUAUUAGAGGUACAUCCUGCCCAGUGAAAUCUUCAACGGCCGCGGUACCCUGACCGUGCAAAGGUAGCAUAAUCAUUUGCCUCUUAAUUAGAGGCUAGUAUGAACGGACACACGAAGCCCACCCUGUCUCUCCUAAACCCCCGUAAAUUGGCCCCCAGGUGAAGAGACCUGGAUUCCCCAAAAAGACAAGAAGACCCUAUUGAGUUUCAUUGGUCUGAACGGCCAAACAAACCCUCUAUCAACCACCAAUUUAGUUGGGGCGACUAAGGAAUAACUAAACCUUCCUUUCACUUUAAGAAUCAAUCUUCUUUUUAUCUGACCCCUCACCGAUCAACUGAAUAAACUACCAUAGGGAUAACAGGCUUAUCUUCUUUGAGAGCCCAAAUUGACAAGAAGGUCUGGCACCUCGAUGUUGGCUUAGGGCACCCCUUAAACGCAGAAGUUUAACAUGGUUAGUUUGUUCAACUAUUAAAGCCCU
rnacentral:rRNA from 1 species